rnacentral:rRNA from 1 species
AGCAAGGUUAAGCACUUAAGGUGCGGAGCCGUAGCGAAAGCGAGUUUUAACUGAGCGUUCAGUUACUUGACGUAGACCCGAAACCGGGCGACCUACCCAUGAGCAGGAUGAAGCGAAAGUAAAAUUGCGUGGAGGUCCGAACCCACGGGCGUUGAAAAGCUCGGGGAUGACUUGUGGGUAGCGGUGAAAUUCCAAUCGAGCCCGGAGAUAGCUGGUUCUCCCCGAAAUAGCUUUAGGGCUAGCCUCAAGGUGAG